rnacentral:rRNA from 1 species
AGAGCGAACGUUAGCGGCGGGCCUAACACAUGCAAGUCGAGCGAGAAAGUGGGGCAACCCAUCAGUAAAGCGGCGGACGGGUGAGUAACACGUAGGUAAUCUUCCCUUGAGCGGGGGACAACAGUUCGAAAGGACUGCUAAUACCGCAUAAGUUUCCGGGACCUUCGGUUUCUGGAAGGAAAGCUAGGUAGCAAUAUCCGGCACUCGAGGAGGAGCCUGCGUCGCAUCAGCUAGUUGGUGGGGUAAUGGCCUACCAAGGCUAAGACGCGUAGCUGGUCUGAGAGGAUGAUCAGCCACACUGGGACUGAGACACGGCCCAGACUCCUACGGGAGGCAGCAGUGGGGAAUAUUGGACAAUGGGCGCAAGCCUGAUCCAGCCACGCCGCGUGAGUGAUGAAGGCCUUCGGGUCGUAAAGCUCGUGUGGGGAGGGACGAACCGCUGAUGGUUAAUAGCCAGCAGCAUGACGGUACCUCCUUAGCAAGCACCGGCUAACUUCGCCG